rnacentral:lncRNA from 11 species
GGCUCUUUAAGAGGCGGCUGUAUUACGACACUGAGAUUGUAAUAUUCUGGUCAAUAUAAAAUGUGAUUGAUUGGAAAAGACAAUGCUGGGUAAAGCGGAAGGCAAUAUGAAAAAAAGAAGUCAUCUCUGUAGAUGGACUGAUUCAACUAAGGAAGUCAUGGCCACACUUAGUUUGCAAAACCUGAGCAGAGCUGUUAACAACCAUAGUUCUUGGAGGUCUUUCAUUCACAGGGUUCACCAUAAGUCACCAUAAGUUACAAUAGAGAUUAUUAGCGUGGAUGGGGAGCAGCAAAUCCCCUUCCUCUGGCAUUAUCUCCCUCUCUCGGAUGUCCAUGCUUCAGUGCACCUUUCUCUGCCUCUCUUCCCGAUGCCCUGCCUUCUUCCAUGCCAUCGAGUUGGGCUGCUGAACCAAGCCAUCUCCCACCCUGCCCUAGCUUCAUCCCUCUUUGGAGCUCAAGUUUCACAGCAGGCCUAUUUCUGCCCAAGGAAUGUUGCAACAUCAGCUCCGGCUUAGGCUCCUGCUCCGCUUGCAUAAAGACCACAGCUCCUUUGCAGCCUCUCUCAUCUCCAGGGCAUUGGGAAAUUCACACCUGAAUAUAUGAAGCAAAAACACUCAAAAUAUUGCAGCUGGGUGUUGUAACUGCAUUUUGCUACUCAUAGCACUCUGUACCCUUCAAAUAGAAAACAUGCAUCUGCGAAGCAGUCUUGAGAAACCAGUUGGCAUUAAAUAUACUCCUAGUUCCUUCCUCCUCUGUGUCUUCCUGCUUCUCCCCAUCUGUUCUUGUUUCACCAUAUGAGGGAAAGUACUGAGGGAUUUCAUGUGGCACAAAAACCUUAAAACUUGGUCAAAAAGAAUGUUGUUAAAAUGAGAGAGAUUUAGAGGAGAGACCGCUGACAUAAAACCCUCCUUUUCUCAUACACGAAGCAAAUCUCAUUAACUUCAAUAGCUUCUGCACAUGUACAAAUCUCCAGCCCCAGUCUAGCAACUUUCCUUGUUAAGGACACACCGCUGGCUUAAAAUAGGAGAUCUGCUCUCCUCUGAAAGGAGUAGUUAGCUAUUCAUAGUGUUCAAAAAUGCAAUUAGAGAAGCAGCCGGCCUUUUCCUUUCUCCUCUGAGAUCAGAGAGCACCCUCAAAGAAUAGUUUUAAGGACAAGACGGCAAGCGCCUUGGAAGAGAUUGAAGUGUCUUCCCCGGGAGUGACCUUGGAAAGAACAGAAAAACCCACAGGGCCUUUGAGAAGUAGGAACUCGGGAGGCAAUUUCCCACUGGAGUUUGUGGAGGAAACAGAGGGCAAGAUCCACACAUACUGUUUUCCCCACUACCCUGGGUCAACCCUAUCUCAUCUCAUCCUCUCCUCUCAUCUGCAGUCCCACAGGCCUUGAGAAGAGGGGUAUUUUUGGCAGGUGCACCUGUUCAAAGAAUUCCUGCAAACUCUGGGUAAGCACAUAGCUUAGAGUUGGAGAACUUGCUGACACACACACAGCCACACACGCCUUAAAGACUGGCUAGAAAUGCCUUUUGAGCAAAAGGCACCCCACCCUCCAGCAUUUCACAGAUGAAAUCGGGGACAUGGGGUGGGAAAGUGUGGUCAAGAUGGCUAAAGUUAUAAAGGAAGAAGGAAAUUCAAAAAGUAACACAGGAUGCAGAGGUUUGCUUUAGCCUGAGCUUACUUUCAUCACAGUUCCUCUCAUAGAAUCAUAGAAUCGUAGAGUUGGAAGAGACCUCACGGGCCAUCC